AAACAAACGUGGAGUCCAAAAUAACAGCUCCCCCUUUCAUGUAAAUCAAAGACACAUAUGGCUGUCAUGUUGUUGUGGAACAUGCUAGCUAACAGCUACUCAUUAAUAUCCAUCGGAGCCACUGUACCAUGGACUCGGAGGAGAUCGUGUUUGUGGUCACCUGACUAAUAUUCACAGAGGGUGAUCCUGCACUGGAGUGUUGUUCUCUUUCCGUCCUGCAGAUGGCGCCACCUGAACACAGUAAAGGCCAUCAGGCCUCCUCUGGGACUGAUCCUGUGGCUCAACUUGGGAAAAUGGACUGGCCGAAGGACCUUGUCUUUCGUAUAGACUGUUCUUUUUUAUUUUAUUCUCCAGUUCCCGAUUAGGAUCAGCAAUGUGGCUGCUCUAUUUUUAGUGAAGAUAUCAGAGUGAGGGAGAGAACAGACUCUGAAGGCUUUUUGCUUCGG